rnacentral:rRNA from 1 species
AACGAACGCUGGCGGCAGGCUUAACACAUGCAAGUCAAACGGGUGUAGCAAUACAUCAGUGGCAGACGGGUGAGUAACACGUGGGAACCUUCCUAGGGGUACGGAACAACUCAGGGAAACUUGAGCUAAUACCGUAUACGUCCGUGAGGAGAAAGAUUUAUCGCCCUUAGACGGGCCCGCGUCGGAUUAGGUAGUUGGUGGGGUAACGGCCUACCAAGCCUACGAUCCGUAGCUGAUCUUAGAGGAUGAUCAGCCACACUGGGACUGAGACACGGCCCAGACUCCUACGGGCGGCAGCAGUGGUGAAUCUUCGACAAUGGGCGCAAGCCUAGUCCAGCCAUGCCGCGUGAGUGAAGAAGGCCUUAGGGUUGUAAAGCUCUUUUACCAGGGACGAUAAUGACGGUACCUGGAGAAUAAGCCCCGGCAAACUUCGUGCCAGCAGCCGCAGUAACAC